rnacentral:rRNA from 1 species
UACGUAGGAUCCAAGCGUUGUCCGGAUUUACUGGGUGUAAAGGGUGCGCAGGCGGACUGGUUAGUCUGGGGUGAAAUCUCAUCGCUCAACGGUGAAACUGCCUUAGAUACUGCCAGUCUUGAAUUAGGGAGAGGUUCGUGGAAUUCCGAGUGUAGCAGUGAAAUGUGUAGAUAUUCGGAAGAACACCAGUGGCGAAGGCAGCGAACUGGCCCUUAAUUGACGCUCAGGCACGAAAGCAUGGGGGAAUCAAACAGG